AGAGUUUGAUCCUGGCUCAGGAUGAACGCUAGCGGCAGGCCUAAUACAUGCAAGUCGAACGCUCAGUAGCAAUAUUGGGAGUGGCGCACGGGUGCGUAACGCGUACACAAUCUACCUCUAAGCGGGGGACACCUCCUGGAAACGGGGAUUAAUACCGCAUAAUAUGCCGAGGUCGCAUGACUUUGGUAUUAAAGCAGCAAUGCACUUAGAGAUGAGUGUGCGUCCCAUUAGGUAGUUGGUGAGGUAACGGCUCACCAAGCCUAUGAUGGGUAGCCGGUCUGAGAGGAUGGUCGGCCACACGGGCACUGAGACACGGGCCCGACUCCUACGGGAGGCAGCAGUAAGGAAUAUUGGUCAAUGGUGGAAACACUGAACCAGCCAUGCCGCGUGGAGGAAUAAGGUCCUACGGAUUGUAAACUCCUUUUGACGAGGAAGAAAGUGUUAGAUUUAUCUAAUUUUGACGGUACUCGUAGAAUAAGCACCGGCUAACUCCGUG
rnacentral:rRNA from 1 species